rnacentral:rRNA from 1 species
AUACGGAGGGUGCAAGCGUUACUCGGAAUCACUGGGCGUAAAGCGCGCGCAGGCGGCUAUUUAAGUUGGAUGUGAAAGCCUACGGCUCAACCGUAGAACUGCUUCCAAAACUAUUUAGCUAGAGUGUGGGAGAGGAAGAUGGAAUUAGUUGUGUAGGGGUAAAAUCCGUAGAGAUAACUAGGAAUACCAAAAGCGAAGGCAAUCUUCUGGAACACUACUGACGCUGAGGCGCGAAAGCGUGGGGCGCAAACGGGAUUAGAAACCCUAGUAGUCC